rnacentral:rRNA from 1 species
UGGUGAAUAUUGCACAAUGGGCGAAAGCCUGAUGCAGCGACGCCGCGUGAGGGAUGACGGCCUUCGGGUUGUAAACCUCUUUCAGCAGGGACGAAGCGCAAGUGACGGUACCUGCAGAAGAAGCACCGGCUAACUACGUGCCAGCAGCCGCGGUAAUACGUAGGGUGCAAGCGUUGUCCGGAAUUACUGGGCGUAAAGAGUUCGUAGGCGGUUUGUCGCGUCGUUUGUGAAAACCAGCAGCUCAACUGCUGGCUUGCAGGCGAUACGGGCAGACUUGAGUACUGCAGGGGAGACUGGAAUUCCUGGUGUAGCGGUGAAAUGCGCAGAUAUCAGGAGGAACACCGGUGGCGAAGGCGGGUCUCUGGGCAGUAACUGACGCUGAGGAACGAAAGCGUGGGUAGCGAACAGG